rnacentral:rRNA from 1 species
UACAGAGGGGGCAAGCGUUAUUCGGAAUUAUUGGGCGUAAAGGGCGCGUAGGCGGCUUGGCAAGUGGAUGGUGAAAUCCCUCGGCUUAACCGAGGAACUGCCAUCCAGACUGCUUUGCUUGAGGCCGGGAGAGGUGAGUGGAAUUCCCAGUGUAGCGGUGAAAUGCGUAGAUAUUGGGAGGAACACCAGUGGCGAAGGCGGCUCACUGGACCGGUUCUGACGCUGAGGAGCGAAAGCUAGGGGAGCAAACGGG